rnacentral:rRNA from 1 species
UACGUAGGGGGCAAGCGUUGUCCGGAUUUAUUGGGCGUAAAGAGCGUGUAGGCGGUUUGGUAGGUCCGCUGUGAAAACUCGAGCUCAACCUCGAGACGCCGGUGGAAACCAUCAGACUAGAGUCCGGAAGAGGAGAGUGGAAUUCCUGGUGUAGCGGUGAAAUGCGCAGAUAUCAGGAAGAACACCCGUGGCUAAGGCGGCUCUCUAGUACGGUACUGACGCUGAGACGCGAAAGUGUGGGGAGCGAACAGG